GACCGUUUAGCUCAGUGGUUAGAGCGUGUGCCUCACAUCUACCUGUAGGAUUUCUUACGAUAGAUUCAUAUGUGUACGCACAAGGUCGCAGGUUCGACCCCUGCAUCGGUCA
rnacentral:tRNA from 1 species